AUUGAACGCUGGCGGCAGGCCUAACACAUGCAAGUCGAGCGGAGCGGCGGACGGGUGAGUAAUGCCUAGGAAUCUGCCUGGUAGUGGGGGAUAACGUCCGGAAACGGGCGCUAAUACCGCAUACUAUCAGAUGAGCCUAGGUCGGAUUAGCUAGUUGGUGGGGUAAAGGCCUACCAAGGCGACGAUCCGUAACUGGUCUGAGAGGAUGAUCAGUCACACGGGAACUGAAACACGGUCCGGAGGCCUACGGGAGGGAGAAGAGGGGAAUAUUGGACAAGGGGCGAAAGCCGGAUACAGACAGGCCGCGUGUGUGAAGAAGGUCUUCGGAUGGGAAAGCACUUUAAGUUGGGAGGCGUGACCAACAGAAUAAGCACCGGCUAACUUCGUGCCAGCAGCCGCGGUAAUUC
rnacentral:rRNA from 1 species